rnacentral:misc_RNA from 1 species
GUUCCUUUCAGGAUCUGUUAUCUGAACUACACGAGACCGUUCCAGCAGGUAUGUUCUAAUAGCAGCACCAGAUAUUCGACCAUUUCCAUCAAACUGGAUCUCAACAAACUUUCCAAAACGACUUGAGUUGUCAUUUCUGACAGUCCUUGCAUUACCAAAUGCCUCCAACAGUGGAUUUGAUUCAAGAACUUGUUGUUCAACUGUUCUGUCGUCACCAGAGGCUCGACCACCAACA